rfam:Jaapia argillacea MTCL 33604 unplaced genomic scaffold JAAARscaffold_5, whole genome shotgun sequence.
GCCGUGGUAGCUCAGUUGGGAGAGCAGUAGACUGAAGCGCUUCUUGCGUUCUAAAGGUCACCUGUUCGAUCCAGGUUCAUGGCA